UCGUUACCUGCUGUUAGCUGAGACAGGAGAAUUACAGAGUAACUUGCCUCAAUGAGUCAGAAUUUCCUUUUUAGCUCAAUAUAAGUAGUACAGAUAACUGUGUUCUUCCUUCUUUUCCCAGGAAAGUUUAGUUUGCAUCCUCCCAGUAUAUUCAUGUGAAAGAACAUUAAAAUGUCAAAAAGACAACUGAAAAAUGGGUCAAAAAAUGAGAGUGUAAUCCUUGUGGCUAAGCCUCCUUCCAGAAAUAAGAGUAUCACAUCUCCUAAACAGUCACACCUAAGCAAGGAGAGGGAAAUGUCAGACUGCCAAAGAGCUCAAACUUCUGAAGAUGCAGGUUCAAACAGCAAGUGAAAGUCAAACUGGACUUUCAGCUCCUUUUUUCUCCCCAAGGAUUCUUACAGUAUUUAUUAGGUUUUAGCUUUCUUGAAUUCAUUGUUACUCUCCCACAUCAGCAGUUUCUUCCAUAAUGCUGCUGCCCCUCUAGUUAUGCUGGCCAAACUAAUGUUUUUCAGCAGCUGGUAUUUUUUUGACUCUAUAGUUUGGUUUUCAAACAGUACCUAAUUGAAAAAUAAUCUCUUGGCUUUCAUUUUUCCAGAGUAGCUUCCCAGUAAUAAAGAGUGUAAGGUAAAAAAGCUGUACUUCAAGCAAUGUGGACCCAGAGUCACAUGUGAAAUAGAAUAAUUAUGUUCUAAAGUUUGCAAUGCAAGAUGUUUUUCCUAACCUAAAUUACUUGGAGUUCUACUGUACAGUGCUGUAAUGGCAACAUGACAUUUUUCCCUAUUGCAUUAUUUUAUAUAUAUAUAUAUAUAUAUAUAUAUAUAUAUAUAUAUGUAAAAGUUUCUCAUUUUUAUGGAGCUGUGACUUUUGCCAGGAAGUAAAAGUCAAACAUUUCCUAGUGAAAAAAUGGUGACAGUUCUCUCUGUUUUUGCAGACAUACCUAUUCCAGGUAUGGAAUACUUCACUGAUACUGUAUUCCAAAUAAAGAGAAAUCCUGACUUAAGACAUUUGUGUCACUGCAGAUUUGCGGGUACAAAUGGCUCAUGCAAGAUAUUCUCAGGUGGAUGGAGAAUCAUGAGAUGUGAUGGGAAAACAAAGAAAAUUUACACAUGGGGAGCAUUUUUGGAUUACCCUGAGCUCAGAUGUUAGAACUGUGCAUACACAGAAUUGCAGUGUUACAAGGGUUACCCCAGUCCCCUGUAGGAAAGAAGCUGCCAUCCCAAGCUAUACUGGGGAAGGGGUCAAGAAUGCAUCUAGCUACAGCUUUGCAUGGAUUGGAGAAGGACCUGCCUACAGAGGAUAUUGCUAUGAAGAAAAUUUGGGAAAUUGCUAUGUUGAAGAGCUGGAGGAUGGUCAAGGCAGAGGAGGCUGCUGUUUACCUGCCAUGAUGAGAAAGGAAAUAUUACAGAACUACAGAAUCAGGUGACUUUUUUAGGUUGUAAAAAACCUGAGACUGAGUCAAACCUUUGACUGAUCUCCACCUUGUAAAUGAAACCACAGCACUAAGUGCCACAUCCCGUCGUUUCUUGAACAAUUCCAGGGAUGAUGAUGCCACCGCUUCCCUGGGAAGCCUGUUCCAAUGUUUAACAACUAUUUCCACAAAGAAAUUCCUCCUGAUGUCCAGCCUAAACCUCCCCUGGCACAGCUUAAGGCUGUGCCCUCUUAUCUUGUCGCUAGUUGCCUGAGAGAAGACUUUACAGGAGAGUGAUUCCUUUUGAGAGGACAGACAGGUCUGCCUCAACUGUCCUGACUCAGCACAUUUGGAACAAAACAUCACCAAGUGCAGAAAGAGGCGUUUGUAAUGCUUGCUCCAGAUCACAAAAUAAACAGAGGGAAUGUGCAGCUGGCCUGGUAGCAGCAACAGAGCCUAAGCCUUUGCUCUUCAUUUGGCACAAAGAGCUGCAGUGCCUGCAUAGGAAUUAAACAUUUUCUUUUCACCAGACCUCUCUGCCACAUUCAGAAACACCAGUGAUAUGAUGCUGCAGCUGACCUGAAAAGUGAGUGGGCAGAAACUGUAAAGAUUUUACAUUAAGAAAACAGCCAGUAUGCUCCCAAUGCAGUACAUACUGAUUCUUCUUGGUUUGUAUCACCUUGAUUAUUCCACCUCUAGUAAUACAGAAAGCAGGAUCCUGAGCUGAACAAAUUCAAAGAGAAAUGUCUUACUCAGGAAUAAAAAACUGCAGAUUAACCAAGAUCUGUAUCACAAACCAAUUUCAAACAUGUAAAGCAAGAUCACCAAAUGAAGAACUUAAUGUCAGGUUCCUAAGAUUUCUACCAUGCUGACAGUUUGUGAUAAAAAAACCCACGAAUCUUGUUCACAGAAAUUCAUUAUGUAGCAUUUUACACAAAAAUACAGGAUGUUGUUAUACAGCCAAGCAUCUGGGAUGAUUAACCCUGAUUUAAGAAAAACAAAUCUCUAGGAAAAGCAGCUAUUUACGAGAACAAGGAUGAAGGCAGAACAAACUACCGGAUUUGUGCAAUUUGAACAAGCUGAAUGUUAGGAAGCAUUAUUUUACCAUAAAACAAAUCAAACAGAAAUACUUACCUUGAUCCUAACAGAUGCUGAGUACAAAGCUACUAGUAAUUUCCCUCAAAAAAACUCAGACCAGUACCUUUAGAGAGAGAGAGGAUUAAAAUUACCUGAAACAUUCAGCAAUGUUUUCACAGUACCAAAGAAGAGGAAUUCAGGGAAGCCACACAGGAGUAUGUCCUGAAAGAUGUGCUGAAUACUGAACAAAGGGGCAGUCGAGCCCACAGUGCAAUGACAGCUGUGGGCAACAACAGAGAUGAGGCCAGGAGGAAGACACAGCCAAAGCAAGAGCAGAGUGAAAACACCAGAGACAUGUAUUUUGUUUUAUCCAUGCUAAUGCAUACAUAUUAAUGUAUGGGCUCUCUUCCCUGGUUGCAAAGCUGUCCCACCAUCCCACUACCUAUAGUCACUUCAGUGCUCAAUCUCAACACACAGUUAAAUAAUUUCUGCUAGAGCUUUUCCUGACAGUUUUCUUGCAUUCAAAUAUACAUGCUCUUUCUUCCAACUCUGAAGCAUCAUCACUACUUGCAGGAAGCCUGCUCCUUGCACUAAAUAGAACUACUUAGCUGAUUUAUAGGGCAUUUACUGUAACUGCUUUUGGGAACAAACAAAGCAGUCUUUUUUCUAUUUCCUUUCCUCGGCAAAGAAUCAGAACUGUCAGAAGUAUCCAUUAGCACAGCAUUUGUCCAAGAAUUCUGUCAUACUGCUGUUAUUACAGGAAAGACAAGAAAAGCAAUCUCAGACAAGGACAUAUGACUUGGCAGACAAGUGAAAAAGAGAUAUCAGCCUAAUAUUCCAAGAAGAAACUUAGCUACUGCCAGCAAGCUGACAGCUACAGUUCAUGUGCAUCUGCUGUUUCCCUGGAACUGCAUUUUGCAGAAGUGUGAAGUCAGACACUUCGCAAUUCUAGCAAGUUAAGACAUUAAAGAAAAAAACUCAGCACUCUGAAUCCAUAGUAAAAUAACCAAACAAGCUUUAAUAUGUUUUUUUCCAAGAUCUAAUAUACAAAUACAAUGGUAAUAAUGUACUCUUCUUUUGUAAGCUUGGAUGAAAUAUAUUGAAGUCCACUUUCCGCAUGUUAUAUAAAUAAUCAUCUAAAGCAACCUAGAAAAGAAGAAAAAGCCUUAAUACACAUGGUGCACACAAAUAAUUAGGCAUUAAGUUUUAAAAGCAAUACAAGAAACCAAAUAAGAAACUGCAAAAAAGGCUUGAUAGUUUGCCUGUGCUAUUAAAUGGUAGUGAAAUCAUCACAUUCCAAGCAUAUAAAAAAGUCAAGUUUUGUGAAGAGAAGCAUUAUCUUUUAGUAGACCAAACACCAAAUUAUGAAAAUAGACAGGAUUUGGGGCUCUUGCAUUAGAACAGCAGUCUAUGAAUAAAGACAUCUUGGGUGGAAUGAUGUAGUUAAAAGAGAAGGAUUAGAAGUGUUGAUCAAAACUCUAAGGUUCUACAGUCAGGCACACAUUAUGAUUUCUAUGAGUUUUAGAUAUUACAUCCUCCCAAAAUAAGACACGUGAAGUGGUAGUUGACCAUGCUUAAUUUGAAUACUCUUCACAAAUGCAUCAGCACAGCAAUAAGUCCAUCACUUAAAGAGUGAGAUCACACCCACCGUACAGAAAAAAGCAGGAUACGCCUUCACAGGAACUUUCUUACUGAAAGAUCUAGCCUAAAAGUAAAUGGGGUAA